AUAUUUUGAUCAGUUCACCCCUCAGCUCCCCUCAGCAGCUGCCACAUUGCAUCCCCCGCCCCAUUUCAUGUUCUCUUUUAUAAUUAUUUGUUUAUUUGACCUACUAAUUAAUUACAAUUAGCCUGAGCACAUAGGGAUGGGGUCAUUCACUCAGCCAUGGACAAGUAAACUGGGGGUGGGACCGCCGAAGGCCCGCCCCACUCACUGCUGGAAAUAUCACCUGUUCUGGUCUCUGUGCAGGCAACCACAGCUUCUGUGGUACCAUGGAAAACGGAAAUGUAACACAGCACUCUCCCUCCAUCCUUCUGCUUUUACAAUUUCUGCCUCCUUUUCCACAUGUUUGCUGAGCUCAGGUUGGUAGAAGGGGCCCGUGUAGGGCCGAGCAUGCGCAGUUGGUUAGUUGUUCCGCCAUGUCUAUAAGAUGAAUUAAAUAUUAACAAUAGCAACUACAUACAAAUAAACGUGGGCAAAUGCUUUUGCUCUUGAAAGGAAAGGAUCUAA
rnacentral:lncRNA from 1 species